rnacentral:rRNA from 1 species
UACGUAGGGGGCUAGCGUUGCUCGGAAUCACUGGGCGUAAAGCGCACGUAGGCGGCUUACUAAGUCAGGGGUGAAAUCCUGGAGCUCAACUCCAGAACUGCCUUUGAUACUGGUGAGCUUGAGUCCGGAAGAGGUGAGUGGAACUGCGAGUGUAGAGGUGAAAUUCGUAGAUAUUCGCAAGAACACCAGUGGCGAAGGCGGCUCACUGGUCCGGUACUGACGCUGAGGUGCGAAAGCGUGGGGAGCAAACAGG